rnacentral:rRNA from 1 species
UUUUUAUGGAGAGUUUGAUCCUGGCUCAGGAUGAACGCUGGCGGCGUGCCUAAUACAUGCAAGUCGAGCGAACAGACGAGGAGCUUGCUCCUCUGACGUUAGCGGCGGACGGGUGAGUAACACGUGGAUAACCUACCUAUAAGACUGGGAUAACUUCGG